AGGUCGAAAAGUGGAUACAACUCAUAACGUUAUGUGUGUAUGUUCAUUUGACAUGAAGUUCACAUACGUUGUCCCUGGAUGGGAAGGAUCAGCUAAUGAUGCAUAGAUUCUUCUAGAAUGUGCCACAUACCCAGAUUAUGGAUUUCCAAUGCCGCCCCAAGGAAAAUAUUAUCUUGUUGAUUCUGGCUAUACAAACAUGCCUGGUUUUCUUUCGCCAUACCGAGGGGAAAUGUAUCAUUUGGGCCAGUACACAGAUCUUAAUCCCAUAGGAAAAAAAGAGCUUUUCAAUUAUUGACACUCUUCCUUGAGAAAUGUCAUUGAGCGGUGUUUCAGCGUGUUGAAGGCCCAUUUUCCAAUCCUAAAGCAAAUGCCUUCAUAUGACCUAAGAAUACAAAAGUACAUUGUCAUUGCUUGCUGUGGGAUUCACAAUUUUAUAAGGACAAAUGCAGAAGCAGAUGUAUAUUUUGAUGGAGGUGAAGGAAAUUCUGAAGUACAGGCCACUACUUUACAAAGCACGAAUGGAACUUUGACUGAUAGUGUAGGGUUCAGUAUUUCUAGAACUCAUAUACAUGAAAUGACUCAUAUUCGUGAUGAAAUUAUUGACCAUAUAUGGAGAUCUAGUUGACGAUAGUGAGAUUGAGUAAAUACAUUAGUUGAUUGUUAUGACUCGUUUAAUGCUUUACUUUAAGUUUGGACAAUUAUCAGUUCAUACGUUUUUAUUU